GGAGAGAAUGUGGGCGUUGUCUGAGUAUCGAGCACGUCAUGGCGGAGAAUGUCCUACAGCGUUUAGACUUGCAAGAUUUUUGGUUGAAAUAGAAGGAGAAUUACGUAACAGAAUCUGCGUCU